UACGUAGGGGGCAAGCGUUGUCCGGAAUUAUUGGGCGUAAAGAGCGUGUAGGCGGUCCGGUAAGUCGGUUGUGAAAGUCCAGGGCUCAACCCUGGGAUGCCGAUCGAUACUGUCGGGCUAGAGUCCGGAAGAGGCGAGUGGAAUUCCUGGUGUAGCGGUGGAAUGCGCAGAUAUCAGGAGGAACACCAAUGGCGAAGGCAGCUCACUGGGACGGUAUUGACGCUGAGGAGCGAAAGCCAGGGGAGCAAACGGG
rnacentral:rRNA from 1 species